CCUACGGGGGACAGCAGUGAGGAAUAUUGGUCAAUGGGCGGGAGCCUGAACCAGCCAAGUCGCGUGAGGGAAGACGGUCCUAUGGAUUGUAAACCUCUUUAGGCGGGGAGCAAUGCCGGGCACGCGUGCCCGGUGGGAGAGUACCCGCAGAAUAAGCAUCGGCUAACCCCGUGCCGGCAGCCGCGGUAAUCCGGAGGAUGCGAGCGUUAUCCGGAUUUAUUGGGUUUAAAGGGUGCGUAGGCGGAAUGCCAAGUCGGCGGUAAAAUCGCGGGGCUCAACCUCGCUCCGCCGUUGAAACUGGCGGUCUUGAGUGGGCGAGAGGUAUGCGGAAUGCGUGGUGUAGCGGUGAAAUGCAUAGAUAUCACGCAGAACUCCGAUUGCGAAGGCAGCAUACCGGCGCCCAACUGACGCUGAAGCACGAAAGCGUGGGUAUCGAACAGGAUUAGAUACCCGGGUAGUC
rnacentral:rRNA from 1 species